GAUGAACGCUGGCGGCGUGCCUAAUACAUGCAAGUCGAGCGAACAGACGAGGAGCUUGCUCCUCUGACGUUAGCGGCGGACGGGUGAGUAACACGUGGAUAACCUACCUAUAAGACUGGGAUAACUUCGGGAAACCGGAGCUAAUACCGGAUAAUAUAUUGAACCGCAUGGUUCAAUAGUGAAAGACGGUUUUGCUGUCACUUAUAGAUGGAUCCGCGCCGCAUUAGCUAGUUGGUAAGGUAACGGCUUACCAAGGCAACGAUGCGUAGCCGACCUGAGAGGAUGAGCGGCCCCAAGGGAACUGAGCCACGGUCAAGACUCCAAGGGGAGGCAGCAGUGGGGAAUCUUCGGCAAGGGGCGAAAGCCUGAGGGAGCAAUGCCGCGUGGGUGAAGAAGGCCUUCGGGUCGUAAACCCCUUUUAUUGGGAAAGAAAAGCUGUAUAAGAAAAUAGCCCUGUCUUGACGGUACCUAAAAAAAAAGCCCCGGCUAACUACGUG
rnacentral:rRNA from 1 species